UGAGGAAUAUUGGUCAAUGGGCGGGAGCCUGGACCAGCCAAGCCGCGUGAGGGAGGAAGGCCCUAUGGGUCGUAAACCUCUUUUGUCAGGGAACAAAAGCGAGUAUGUAUACUAGUCUGAGUGUACCUGAAGAAAAACGCAUCGGCUAACUCCGUGCCAGCAGCCGCGGUAAUACGGAGGAUGCGAGCGUUAUCCGGAUUUAUUGGGUUUAAAGGGUGCGUAGGCGGCGGUGCAAGUCAGCGGUAAAAGCCCGGGGCUCAACCCCGGCGAGCCGUUGAAACUGCAGUGCUAGAGAAGGCGAGAGGUACGCGGAAUGCGCAGUGUAGCGGUGAAAUGCUUAGAUAUUGCGCAGAACUCCGAUUGCGAAGGCAGCGUACUGGCGCCUGACUGACGCUGAGGCACGAAAGCGUGGGGAUCGAACAGGAUUAGAUACC
rnacentral:rRNA from 1 species